GCCGGGGUAGCUCAGUUGGUAGAGCAACGGUUUCGUAAACCGUAGGUCGAGGGUUCGACUCCCUUCCCCGGCU
rnacentral:tRNA from 1 species